rnacentral:rRNA from 1 species
AUUGAACGCUGGCGGCAUGCCUUACACAUGCAAGUCGAACGGCAGCACGGGUGCUUGCACCUGGUGCCGAGUGGCGAACGGGUGAGUAAUACAUCGGAACGUACCUUAUCGGGGGGGAUAACGCAGCGAAAGCUGUCCUAAUACCGCAUACGCCUUGAGGCGGAAAGCGGGGGAUCGGCAAACCUCGCGCGAGUAGAGCGGCCGAUGCCUGAUUAGCUAUUUGGUGGGGUAAAAGCCCACCAGGGCGACGAUCAGGAGCUGGUCUGAGAGGACGAUCAGCCACAGUGGGACUGAGACACGGCCCAGACUCAUGCGGAUGGCAGCAGUGGGGAAUUUUGGACAAUGGGGGCAACCCUGAUCCAGCAAUGCCGCGUGAGUGAAGAAGGCCUUCGGGUUGUAAAGCUCUUUUGUCAGGGAAGAAACACCGGCUCUAACACAGUCCGGGAAUGACGGUACCUGAAGAAUAAGCACCGGCUAACUACGUGCCAGCCGCCGCAGUAA